AAGCCCAGGAAGGGGCUGGGCUUAGGCGCAACGGAAGGAAGGGAAGUCUCGGGGUUACACUGGAGCAGGAAUGAGUAAACUCCGGCCCUCCAGGUGUUUUGGAUUUCAACUCCCGUGGGAGUUGAAGUCCAAAACACCUGGAGGGCCCAUGCCUGCACUAGAGUUAAAAGCAAGUGUGCAUCCCUCCUGAAAUCCCCGAGCUUGUAGUUUAGGGGAGGGGCCUUCAAAAUGCCCAGCCAGAAAGAUCCCUAAAAGCUCCAGCUGGUGCAGCGGGCAGCAGCCAGGUUAAUAAUGGGAGCGGCUUACAGGGAGCAUACAAACCCCCUGCUAAGCCAGCUCCACUGGCUGCCGAUAUGCUACCGAGCCCAAUUCAAAGUGCUGGUUUUGACCUACAAAGCCCUAAACCAGGGGUCCCCAAACUAAGGCCCGGGGGCCGGAUGCGGCCCUCCGAGGUCAUUUACCUGACCCCCGCCCUCAGUUUUAUAAUAUAAUAUAUUGGAUAUACAUAUAAUAUUGAUAAUAAUAUUAUAAUGUAAUACAAUAUAACACUAAUAAUAAUACCAUAUAAUAAUAUUAGUUAUAUAUUCUAUGUUACAUAUAAUAUUACUAAUAAUAUUACAGUAUAGUGGUAUAGUUCAAUAAAGUAAUAUAUAAUGCUAAUAUUGUGCUAUGCUAAUAAUAUAAUAUAUUGUAUGUACAUAUAAUUUGUAAGCCACUCUGAGUCCCCUUUGGGGUGAGAAGGGUAUGAUACAAAUGUAGUAAAUAAAUGCAGUAAAUAAAUAAAUAAUAAAUAAAUACAUUUUAGACUUAGGCUCACCCAAAGUCUGAAAUGACUUGAAGGCACACAACAACAACAACAACAACCCUAAUUAACUUGACUAUCUCAUUGGCCAGAAGCAGGAGCACAUGGGAACAUUGAAAUCCUGAUAAAUGUAUGUUGGUUAAAAUUAUUUUUAUUUUUAAAUAUUGUAUUGUUCUUUCAUUGUUGUUGUUUUUGCACUACAAAUAAGACAUGUGUAGUGUGCAUCAGAAUUUAUUUGUUGUUUUUUUUCAAAUGAUAAUCCGGCCCCUCAACAGUCCGAAGGAUUGUGGACCGGCCCUCGGCUUAAAAAGUUUGAGGACCCCUGCCCUAAACGGUUCUGGUCCUGCCUAUCUAUCCGAACGUAUCUCCUCCUAUGAGCCUGUUAGAACCUUAAGAUCUUCCGGGGAGGCCCUGCUCUCGAUCCCACCUGCCUCGCAGGCGCGGCUGGUGGGGACGAGGGACAGGGCCUUCUCGGUGGUGGCUCCCUGGCUGUGGAACUCCCUCCCCAGCGAUAUCCGGCAAACCCCUUUCCUCCUGGGAUUUAGAAGAAAACUAAAAACUUGGCUCUGCGCCCAGGCAUUCAGCGAAUAAGCUCACUGGCUGAUGUAAUUGGGUCGCAAAUCUGUAAUUGUAGCAGUAGUGAAUGACUGAGGAUGGUGUAAUAUCACUGCCUUGCAGCGUUUUAAUUUUUAUAUACUUUUUAUCACAUUUUUAUCAUGUUUUUAUCAUGUUUUAAUUGUUUUGUUUUAUAGUAUAUUUGUUGCUGGCCCUCGUGGCAGAAUGUAAGCUGCUCUGAGUCCCCUUGGGGAGAAGGGCGGGGUAUAAAUGCAUGUAAUAAAUAAAUAAAUAAAUAAUAAAGGCAAACUGCGUUGGAUAAUACAGAACGUUGGAUAAGCGAAGGUUGGAUAAGUGAGACUCUACUAGUUAAACAGGGGAAUUGCAGGUAAGAAACAAUCAGGGCCAGCUAACACCUCCCAACAAAGGAUUCCCCCGGGCAGUAAACAGACAGACCUUGAACUGCAAGGCUAUUCAAUGCUGUGAAUUGCACAAUUCACACUUGCCUCAAACAGACAAGAACACUGGACCUUCCACAAAUAUAUACAGUAAACCCCACUUGUCUAGUUUUCAACAUACCUUACAACCUUUGAGGAUGCCUGCCAUAGAUGCAGGCGAUACAUCAGGAGAGAAUGCUUCCGGAACAUGGCCAUACAGCCCGGAAAAGUCACAGCCACUUACCAACUGAUCAAUGCUGCACUUGAAGAAGCGAAUUUGUUUCUUUAUGUUAGGGUGCACCUACACACUGAAGAAUGAAUGCAGUUUGACACCACUUGAACUGCCUUGGCUCAGUGCUAUAAAAUCCCGGAAUUAUAUUUUCACAAGGCCUGUAGUCUUCUCUGUGAAACAGUGCUAGUGCCUCAACGAACUACAACUCCAGUGAUUCCAUUGCGUUGAGCCAUGGCAGUCCAAGUGAUAUCAAACUGCAUUCAAAUGCAUCGGAUGUCUUCUUCUAAUCCAGCCAAUACUGAGCCCUCUCCUUAUUGCACCCACCUUCCUUUCCUAGCACUGAAAAAUCAACCUGCUAAUAAGGUCUCUGUUUCAUCUAAAAUCCUAUGAGACUCUUCCUAAAGCAGUGGUUCUCAACCUGUGGGUCCUCAGGUGUUUUGGCCUACAACUCCCAGAAAUCCCAGCCAGUUUACCAGCUGUUAGGAUUUCUGGGAGUUGAAGGCCAAAAUAUCUGGGGACCCAUAGGUUGAGAACCACUGUGGAACUAAAGACUUCUCUAGAACUAGAGUACGCUUGUUCACCCUCCAACAUCAUAGAGCUAUUGCAGUUGCUACAAAAUUUAGGUAGCAGUGAAAUGGAGUGUGACCUCAGAAGGACUGUGGGAGUCCAAUGCAACCUCCCCAAACUGAAGAAACGACCGUCUCUAAUUUGAAAGCACUUUGUCAUUAAUGGUAGAAAGGUGCUCAUUGGUUGCUUCUUCACCGCAAAGCACUGCUGAAGAGGUGUAACUUCAGAGAUGUUGUCUUCUUUGAGUGUCUUACUUUAGAGAAUUCAAUUUACAACAUAGUGAUCUAUGAGAAGUAAUAGUAAGUAAAUUCUGCAAGCACUCAGGCAUCCCAAUUGCAGCCUACAGAUACUUCGGUUGCGCUGCUGUAACCUCCAAUCCAAGUCAUGCAUGAAAUUAGCUGCUGUCAUUCUAAAACCAGAACCUGAGAGAGCUCUACUUGAGACUUUAACAAUAUAGAUGGACUGACAAAGCUCUGUGAAAUACUGAUACAUCUUGACUGCAAACUGCAGGU